CCAAACCAUUUCAAUUGUUGAGUUUUGUUGUUGAUUGAGGGAAUAUAUGUCUCGAUAGAGUUGCUUUAAGGAGCCUUGUUCAAUCCAUUUAUCAUUCCAUAGAUCUACUUUCCUUCCAUUACCAACGCUGAGCAUUGUUUUUGUUUGCAAUUUGGGCCACAAUUUCCUUAUGGAUUUCCAGAGACCAACUCCAUAAGGACUAUUGCUUACUUUGGUAGUCCAUCUUCCAUCCAAACCAUAUUUCUCCCUGAUUACCUUCUUCCAUAAUGGCUGGUCAUCAGUUUUGUUUGGAAUUUGGGGUUCGCACCUGCAGCUGCUUCGCCGGGACAGUAGCAACGACAAGCUUAGAAGCCUAGACUGAGCCGAUGGAAGCUUGUAUGAGCUUACCAGAAGCAACAAAUGAACUUGCGGAUACAUCAAGUACAAUAGAGUAAUGGAUUAUGAAAUGGAAAAAGUGUAGGCUUUUCCAAUGGAUGUUACUAUUCCCUUUAGGGAAAGGUUGAAGAUAUUAGGUUGUGUAGCAAAUGUGGAGGACCUCUGGUUAAGUGCAGCAGAGAGGAAGCUUAUGCAAGCAUACAAUGAAAUACCUGUUCUUUCACAUCCUCAACAUGAGUUCUAUAAGAGUUCCAAAUUUGGACGACCGAUUCUGCCACACGAUGGAGCACUUGAAGAAGGCCAACAAAGGCAAACCUGAUGGCGAGGGUUCGAGGUUAGCCUGACUUGGAGUCAAUUUUCAUGUCAAGGCUGAGCAGUCGAGCAUUGAUGAUGUUGAGUUUUCUAAAGGCUUGAGAUGAUUCAUUUCUUUUAUUAUUGCGAUUCUUGUCAUUUCGAGAAGUGCUGAUCACCCUGAAGAGACACCCUGGAGAUCCUCAAUGACCUUAAAGAAAGCUUCUUGGGAUGCCUUGUGAUUCAUAGUGUGAUACAAGCUCUCUCGCGCUUGGCAAUUUUCUCGUCACCUUCUUUUUGCUGCUCUCAUUAUUGUUGCUGGUUGUUGCAGUAUCAAUCUCUUUUAUCUCAUUCCUUCCCAUUUUGAAUUGGUUAUGGUGGUUUUCCCAUUACCUUUUUAUUUUUUCCCUCGAGUUCUCUCUGUUUUCCACAGUUUCAGAUUAAGCCUGCCAAGACGAUUGCUAGAAAGUUGGCUGGAGAUUUUGUGACUGAAGCAUUUUCGGCAAAUUAGGCUGCAUAUUAUCCUUUUGGUGUUGAUUUACUUUUAUCUCAAAGAAAAAAUGAUGAUAUUGCUCGUCUUGUGGAACUUCCUGUCAUUGAGCACUCUGGGACUAUUCCACACAUUCUUGUAGUGAAUAUUCAGGUACCAUUAUAUCCUACUGCAAUUUUUCAGUGUGAAACUGAUGGCUAAGGAAUGAGUUUUGUCUUGUACUUUAAGCUUUCAGAAAGUUAUGCAAAAGAACUUCCUCAUUUUCAAGAGAACAUCAGAAGAGUAAUGGAUGAUGAAAUGGAAAAAGUGUAGGCUUUUCCAAUGGAUGGUACUGUUCCCUUUAGGUAAAGGUUGAAGAUAUUAAGUUGUUAGCAAAUGUGGAGGACCUCCGGUUAAGUGCAGCAGAGAGGAAGCUUAUGCAGGCAUACAAUGAAAUACCCGUUCUUUCACGUCCUCAACAUGAGUUCUAUAAGUAAAUACGUUCUGGAAUUAAGUUGACCCCUCAGACAUCACAACUAUAGCAAUGCAGCGUCUUUUAUGAUUUCACUGAAAUUAUGGUCUUAUUAGCCUGGAAGUCACAGUGAAGAGGAUUGUAUAGUGCAACAAUUUUGGUAUAUAAGACCUAAUGAUCAAGCAUCCGUAUACCGGGGUGGAAUACGGGAGGACUGUUCAACCAAGUCGACCCAAAUUAUUAAUCAUCUUUCCGAUACCAUGCUCUAUGAGAAACUUGAUCAAGCUCUAUCACAAGUGUUUAUGCAAUUUAAAGACGAGUUUGAAGAUCAACAACACGCUAUAGUUGAACAAACAGCUCGUAAGUUGCUAAGCAUCACGACUACUGAGAUGUCAGAGGUAUGUGUGGAUGUGGAAUUACAGAUUGAUCACUACUGCGAUGGUAGAAUUUUGUUAGCAUUGGAAGAAUCAUCAUCUGUGGAUGGAAUGGUGCCGGCUAGUGAAUCAUCGAUAGAGUUGCUAGAGCCGAUGGAAGCUGAUGAAAGAAAUAGCAACGAUGAGUGUUCGGUAUGUCUAGAUGAGUUAGGGGAGGAAACUGAUGUACUGCGCUUGCCUUGCUCUCAUAUGUUUCAUGCUGAGUGUAUUACCAAGUGGUUACAGAAUAGCCAUUACUGCCCGCUUUGCCGCUUUCAGAUGCCAACCGAUUAGACAAAACUACCUAAAGGAUCCAAAAACAAUUUUGUAGUAGAUUAUAUUGAUACUAUUACUAAUGUAUAAUGUAUGAUGCAGUAC